rnacentral:rRNA from 1 species
UACGAGGGGGGCGAGCGUUGUUCGGAAUUAUUGGGCGUAAAGGGUGCGUAGGCGGUUUGAUAAGUCUGAUGUGAAAUCUAUGGGCUCAACUCAUAGUCUGCAUGAGAAACUGCCGGGCUUGAGUAUGGGAGAGGUGAGUGGAAUUCCUGGUGUAGCGGUGAAAUGCGUAGAUAUCAGGAGGAACACCUGUGGCGAAAGCGGCUCACUGGACCAUAACUGACGCUGAUGCACGAAAGCUAGGGGAGCAAACAGG